CGAGGUUUCGAAACAGCUUGCAUGCUGCCAAUCGAGCGACACAUGAGGGCAGCAUUCAACAACAACAUAAACACGCGACUCGUGUAAAUCUGCCGCUACCCGUAUUCUUCUGACUCUGGUCUGAGUGGCUGAAAACUUUCUUAUUUAUUAGUAUUACGUCAGUAUCAGUACUACAAGUUUGUUUUCAUUAAAGCUGCUAAGAAGAUAAGGAGGAGGCAUUGAAAGUACUCAACGGACACAAAUGGAAAGGACAGGUGCUCAAAGCCAAGCUCGCCAUGUCAGUUGAGGACCCGGACACUAAGAGCCUCGCUCGGAAGAGAAGCCAAGAGGAAUCUGAUGGAAACACCCAAGAAGCUAAGAGGAGGAAGGAGGAGGACAGCUGACCAGUAGAAGAGAGGUUAAACAACAUGGUGACUCCACUGUGGAACCAGCCGUAUGAGGACCAGCUAUCCACCAAACAGACCAACACCAGGGAGUUUCUGAGGAAUUUAUCCAAGAUGCUGCAACGGAACAUUGGGGAGAUGUCUCCAUGGCUGAAGUAACAAAGGAAGAACCACAGUGGGAUGGAAUGUGAGUUGCAGCCAAUUAAGCCAUCGCCAGUAUUAGAGAGUUAUCGCAACAAGUGUGAGUUUACCUUCGGCAAGAGUGUAGAUGGCAUCGAUAACACUGUUGGUUUCCGGCUUGGCGCUUACAAAGGU